rnacentral:rRNA from 1 species
AUGACCGUGUGGAUUGGGAUUUUUUUCGAGAAGGCCCUAGUGAAGUGGGGUUUUUCUGGCAUUUGGAUAGGAUGGAUUAUGGCAUGCAUUAAGUCGGUAAAAUAUUCAGUGAAGCUCAACGGGAAAUUACUUGAGGUGUUUUCCCCGUCGCGGGGCUUGCGACAAGGUGAUCCAUUGUCUCCUUUUCUUUUCCUUUUUGUCGCUGAUGCUCUGUCUGCUCUUAUCUCCAAGUCUGUUGCGGAUGGUGACUUGCGGGGUGUGAGUAUUUGUCGGGGUGCACCAAUCAUAUCCCACUUGCUUUUUGCGGACGACACAAUGUUGCUCUUUGAGGCGUCUGGCCAGCAAGCUAGCAUUGUCAAGGGUUUGUUGAACACUUAUACUGCAGCAACGGGUCAACUUAUCAACCCUGAGAAGUGUUCCAUCCUGUUUUCGGACAAUUGUGAUGCGGCGGUGGCGGAUGAGGUGAAGGGCCUUUUGGAUAUAACUCAGCAGGUGUUUGAUCCAAAAUAUUUGGGGUUGUCGGUUCCUGAGGGAAGAAUGCAUAAAGGAAGGUUUGAAACACUACAGGAGCGCCUGCGGAAGCGAUUAAUAGACUGGAGCGAACAAUAUAUGUCUGUGGGUAAUAAGGAAAUCCUCGUCAAGGCGGUCGUGCAUGCCAUUCCUACGUAUGUUAUGAGCGUCUUCAAAUUGCCAGCUUCUGUGUGUGAUGAGUUAACACGGAUGACGUGA